CUCAUCAAACUCCCUCUCUUCAUCUUCACACAGUCCCAUCUCCAUCUUCAAACGCACAAUUUCCUCCAUGCCUCUCUCUACAUACACGUUCCCCUGCCUCCAAUCUUUGUCCCUUCUCUACCUUCAAACCCCUAAACUAUAGUCCGCAGGCGCCAACCACCCACUCCUUUAGUGGCAGAAAGUUUUUGAUUUUGAGACUUUACCAUCUGACCAGAUUCUCUCCGCAAACAUUACCGAUUCGAAUUUAGGAUUGAGGUCAAUCUCGAUGCCAUGACACAUCUAAGAAUUUGGAAGCCCAUUUUGAAGAAUGCUAGCACUCUAGCAAAGAAGUUCUCCAUGGAAGUCACACAAGAUCUAUGUUUAUUUGUACUCCCUCAAAUAGCAGCAU